AACAAAUUUGUUUUGUGUUUUGUUUUCUAGAUCUGGUUGGGGCAUUUUCUUGAGGUCCAAGGACUAUUUAUUUCCAUCCAAGAAACCCUAAUUCAUUCUCUAUUGGACCCUUUACCAAUCAGUUCAUCUUUCUUUUGUUUUAAUUUCUUUUGAUUCUCCUUUGUGAAAACUAAUCUAUUUCUGUUGUUUCUCAUUUCCAUUUACGUUCGUCUAGAGAUUUAGGAUACAUCCACAACUUGAACAAACUUUAUGAUCC
rnacentral:lncRNA from 1 species